rnacentral:rRNA from 1 species
GAUGAACGCUGGCGGCGUGCCUAAUACAUGCAAGUCGAGCGAACAGACGAGGAGCUUGCUCCUCUGACGUUAGCGGCGGACGGGUGAGUAACACGUGGAUAACCUACCUAUAAGACUGGGAUAACUUCGGGAAACCGGAGCUAAUACCGGAUAAUAUAUUGAACCGCAUGGUUCAAUAGUGAAAGACGGUUUUGCUGUCACUUAUAGAUGGAUCCGCGCCGCAUUAGCUAGUUGGUAAGGUAACGGCUUACCAAGGCGACGAUGCGUAGCCGACCUGAGAGGGUGAUCGGCCACACUGGAACUGAGACACGGUCCAGACUCCUACGGGAGGCCGCAGUAGGAAAUCUUCCGCAAUGGGCGAAAGCCUGACGGAGCAACGCCGCGUGAGUGAUGAAGGUCUUCGGAUCGUAAAACUCUGUUAUUAGGGAAGAACAAAUGUGUAAGUAACUAUGCACGUCUUGACGGUACCUAAUCAGAAAGCCACGGCUAACUACGUG